CCUACGGGAGGCUGCAGUGGGGAAUAUUGGACAAUGGGGGCAACCCUGAUCCAGCCAUGCCGCGUGUGUGAAGAAGGCCCUCGGGUUGUAAAGCACUUUCAGUGAGGAAGAACGCCUGGUGGUUAAUACCCAUCAGGAAAGACAUCACUCACAGAAGAAGCACCGGCUAACUCCGUGCCAGCAGCCGCGGUAAUACGGAGGGUGCGAGCGUUAAUCGGAAUUACUGGGCGUAAAGCGCGCGUAGGUGGCUUGAUAAGCCGGUUGUGAAAGCCCCGGGCUCAACCUGGGAACGGCAUCCGGAACUGUCAAGCUAGAGUGCAGGAGAGGAAGGUAGAAUUCCCGGUGUAGCGGUGAAAUGCGUAGAGAUCGGGAGGAAUACCAGUGGCGAAGGCGGCCUUCUGGACUGACACUGACACUGAGGUGCGAAAGCGUGGGUAGCAAACAGGAUUAGAUACCCGUGUAGUC
rnacentral:rRNA from 1 species